GUGAACCUGACCACCGCUCAGAAAAAACCAAGGUUUCUUCGGGUUCAAAAGCUAAUGUACUUAAUCAACAUAAAAGCACUGAAGAACAACCAAUAGCAAGAAAGGUUGUCGCUUCUCGUGCUUCCUGUACAAAGAAAGUUAGCCAUAUAUUAUAUCAAAGUGUAA